rnacentral:rRNA from 1 species
AUUGAACGCUGGCGGCAGGCCUAACACAUGCAAGUCGAACGGUAACAGGAAGAAGCUUGCUUCUUUGCUGACGAGUGGCGGACGGGUGAGUAAUGUCUGGGAAACUGCCUGAUGGAGGGGGAUAACUACUGGAAACGGUAGCUAAUACCGCAUAACGUCGCAAGACCAAAGAGGGGGACCUUCGGGCCUCUUGCCAUCGGAUGUGCCCAGAUGGGAUUAGCUAGUAGGUGGGGUAACGGCUCACCUAGGCGACGAUCCCUAGCUGGUCUGAGAGGAUGACCAGCCACACUGGAACUGAGACACGGUCCAGACUCCUACGGGAGGCAGCAGUGGGGAAUAUUGCACAAUGGGCGCAAGCCUGAUGCAGCCAUGCCGCGUGUAUGAAGAAGGCCUUCGGGUUGUAAAGUACUUUCAGCGGGGAGGAAGGGAGGAAAGUUAAUACCUUGGCGCAUUGACGUUACCCGCAGAAGAAGCACCGGCUAACUCCGUG